rnacentral:rRNA from 1 species
UACGAAGGGUGCAAGCGUUAAUCGGAAUUACUGGGCGUAAAGCGCGCGUAGGUGGUUCAGCAAGUUGAAGGUGAAAUCCCCGGGCUCAACCUGGGAACUGCCUCCAAAACUACUGAGCUAGAGUACGGUAGAGGGUAGUGGAAUUUCCGGUGUAGCGGUGAAAUGCGUAGAUAUCGGAAGGAACAUCAGUGGCGAAAGCGACUGCCUGGCCCAAUACUGACACUCAUGUGCGAAAGCGUGGGGAGCAAACAGG